UGCUGAGCCCGGAUUGGCUGCUGGGUGUUCCUUUGUUCCUUUUCAGGCUGCCGCAGAGAGAGCGGAAGUUUAACUCCGCUGUGCAGUAGCUGUAAAUUGCAAAGGGCAGGUUGCGACCCGAGGCAGCGCCCUGAAGCCCGUUUCCUUUCCUGACCACAUCCGACUGUCGGGAGGGGGAGAAAAAGCCAUCGUCGCCGGAUUUCUCCCUGUGUCUCGCUUGUGUCUCAGAGGGGUACUGAACAUGGAUUUGGAGAGCAAAGUGAAGAAGAUGGGCUUAGGGCAUGAAGAAGGAUUUGGAGCCCCAUGCUUGAAAUGCAAAGAUAAAUGUGAAGGAUUUGAGCUACAUUUCUGGAG